rnacentral:rRNA from 1 species
AGAGUUUGAUCCUGGCUCAGAUUGAACGCUAGCGGGAUGCUUUACACAUGCAAGUCGAACGGCAGCACGAGAGAGCUUGCUCUCUUGGUGGCGAGUGGCGGACGGGUGAGUAAUAUAUCGGAACGUGCCCAGUAGCGGGGGAUAACUACUCGAAAGAGUGGCUAAUACCGCAUACGCCCUACGGGGGAAAGGGGGGGAUCGCAAGACCUCUCACUAUUGGAGCGGCCGAUAUCGGAUUAGCUAGUUGGUGGGGUAAAGGCUCACCAAGGCAACGAUCCGUAGCUGGUUUGAGAGGACGACCAGCCACACUGGGACUGAGACACGGCCCAGACUCCUACGGGAGGCAGCAGUGGGGAAUUUUGGACAAUGGGGGAAACCCUGAUCCAGCCAUCCCGCGUGUAUGAUGAAGGCCUUCGGGUUGUAAAGUACUUUUGGCAGAGAAGAAAAGGCAUCCCCUAAUACGGGAUGCUGCUGACGGUAUCUGCAGAAUAAGCACCGGCUAACUACGUGCCAGCAGCCGCGGUAAUACGUAGGGUGCAAGCGUUAAUCGGAAUUACUGGGCGUAAAGCGUGUGUAGGCGGUUCGGAAAGAAAGAUGUGAAAUCCCAGGGCUCAACCUUGGAACUGCAUUUUUAACUGCCGAGCUAGAGUAUGUCAGAGGGGGGUAGAAUUCCACGUGUAGCAGUGAAAUGCGUAGAUAUGUGGAGGAAUACCGAUGGCGAAGGCAGCCCCCUGGGAUAAUACUGACGCUCAGACACGAAAGCGUGGGGAGCAAACAGGAUUAGAUACCCUGGUAGUCCACGCCCUAAACGAUGUCAACUAGCUGUUGGGGCCGUUAGGCCUUAGUAGCGCAGCUAACGCGUGAAGUUGACCGCCUGGGGAGUACGGUCGCAAGAUUAAAACUCAAAGGAAUUGACGGGGACCCGCACAAGCGGUGGAUGAUGUGGAUUAAUUCGAUGCAACGCGAAAAACCUUACCUACCCUUGACAUGUCUGGAAAGCCGAAGAGAUUUGGCCGUGCUCGCAAGAGAACCGGAACACAGGUGCUGCAUGGCUGUCGUCAGCUCGUGUCGUGAGAUGUUGGGUUAAGUCCCGCAACGAGCGCAACCCUUGUCAUUAGUUGCUACGCAAGAGCACUCUAAUGAGACUGCCGGUGACAAACCGGAGGAAGGUGGGGAUGACGUCAAGUCCUCAUGGCCCUUAUGGGUAGGGCUUCACACGUCAUACAAUGGUCGGGACAGAGGGUCGCCAACCCGCGAGGGGGAGCCAAUCUCAGAAACCCGAUCGUAGUCCGGAUCGCAGUCUGCAACUCGACUGCGUGAAGUCGGAAUCGCUAGUAAUCGCGGAUCAGAAUGUCGCGGUGAAUACGUUCCCGGGUCUUGUACACACCGCCCGUCACACCAUGGGAGUGGGUUUCACCAGAAGUAGGUAGCCUAACCGCAAGGAGGGCGCUUACCACGGUGGGAUUCAUGACUGGGGUGAAGUCGUAACAAGGUAACC